rnacentral:rRNA from 1 species
GAUGAACGCUGGCGGCGUGCCUAAUACAUGCAAGUCGAGCGAACAGACGAGGAGCUUGCUCCUCUGACGUUAGCGGCGGACGGGUGAGUAACACGUGGAUAACCUACCUAUAAGACUGGGAUAACUUCGGGAAACCGGAGCUAAUACCGGAUAAUAUAUUGAACCGCAUGGUUCAAUAGUGAAAGACGGUUUUGCUGUCACUUAUAGAUGGAUCCGCGCCGCAUUAGCUAGUUGGUAAGGUAACGGCUUACCAAGGCAACGAUGCGUAGCCGACCUGAGAGGGUGAUCGGCCACACUGGAACUGAGACACGGGCCAGACUCCUACGGGAGGCAGCAGUAGGGAAUCUUCCGCAAUGGGCGAAAGCCUGACGGAGCAACGCCGCGUGAGUGAUGAAGGUCUUCGGAUCGUAAAACUCUGUUAUUAGGGAAGAACAAAUGUGUAAGUAACUAUGCACGUCUUGACGGUACCUAAUCAGAAAGCCACGGCUAACUACG